AACGCACGAGACCUGCGGACCUGCGGAGGGAUCAUUAAUAGAGAGCUGCCCGGCCUUCCGGGCGCCUUCUCCACCCAUUGUCUGUUAUACGUCAGUUGCUUUGGCGGGCCCGGGCAUUCUGCCCGGCCGGCUUGCGCCGGACAGUGCCCGCCAGAGGUCAUUUUUCAAAACUCUGAAGUAAACCACGAAGUCUGAAAACACUAUGAAAAUAGCCUAAAACUUUUAACAAUGGAUCUCUAG
rnacentral:misc_RNA from 1 species